ACCAGGUUGUUGGUUCACUAUUUUCCAUUUUCCUUUCUCUCUUGUCCCUGGUUCUCUGGAACCUCCUCAUGAGGAAUGGUCCAUUCUCAGCUGAUUGGUGUCCCCCUGCCUGUGACCUCAAGGGUACAAAAUCAAUUGGCCCUUCUUUUUCAGCUGAAGAAAGAUAGGAAUAGGGCUUGGACCUUUCAGUUCAAUGAUAGGGGCAGUUCCUGGCUGAGGAACUUCCUGUACAAAUGCAGAUCAACACUUUCUAGGAGACAGAGUUGCCUAAAAAACUGUGGAGAGAGAGGACUUGCAGGCCAAUCUAGACCCACUUCUUGAAACCUUUUGGCUUUCUCCCUCCCCCCCUGAGUGGACUAUAAAAUACUCUUGUUUUCUUUCUCCGGUAAGGGGUUUAUUGGGAAACAACAGGAUGGAAAACUGAGAGAGAAGACUCUGACUGGCAGAGUGCUACGCAUUCAACAUCUUGGUGUGGUGGUAGCUAUUGUCUGGGUUUGGUGGUGAGUUUUGCCCUGGAGCUGAUUUCAGGUUCGGGAAUCUUGGCCUUUCCUUUUUGGAGUUCAAGCCUGACUCCUUCCUCCUUCAUACUCCAAAACCUUAUCUCCUAAUCUCCCCGCUCAGUACUAGCCAGGCAGGGGGGAGAAAACCUACUCCUUUCCUUCUUCCUUCUCCUUAAUCUCCUCCACUAUCAAUUAAAUCAAUAUAAAAUUUCUAGCUGACUUGGGUGUUCAUUAGGAUCCAUAGUGACCAAAAAAUAUUAUUACAUUCAGUCUCAGUCAUUAUUUUAACCCUUACACUACAAGUGCAGUUACUGUCUUGGAAACAUUCCAAAAGGAAUUUAGUUCCUUUCUCAGGUACAGGAAGGAGAACAAAAGUGCUUGCAAUUAUUUUACAUUUAUAUUAAGUGACCAAUACAACAAAAUAUUUUAAACUUAUCUAAACUUUAGAGAUAUAAUUUGAAAGACCUGAGAGGUUAGCUGAUAUCUGGAAUAAAUCUUGAUCUGAUAAUAAGAUAUAUUACAACUAAGGCUUAAGGAAGUAACAGGAAUUUUAAGAGUUUAUUUGAGUAUGCCUAAAUAUUAUAAUUUCUAUAAACUGCUAUUAAGUCAAAAUAUGAGCUUUUCUAGAAGCAGACAAGAAUAAAAGUUUUCUUAAUUGAAACUGCACAAUUUGGCUAUGUGGGGGGCAGCUGGGUAGCUCAGUGGAUUGAGAGCCAGGCCUAGAGACGGGAGGUCCUAGGUUCAAAUCUGGCCUCAGAUACUUCCCAGCUGUGUGACCCUGGGCAAGUCACUUGACCCCCAUUGCCUAGCCCUUACCACUCUUCUGCCUUGGAGCCAAUACACAGUAUUGACUCCAAGACAGAAGGUAAGGGUUUAAAAAAAGAUUUUGGCUAUGUGAUACAACUGCAAAAGUUCAAACUAUAAAUCCAGAAUCCUAAAGAAGCUCAGGUUAGAAAAUGUUCCUUCCUUUUGAUCACAACAAUUGAUAUAUUACAGUUAGUUAAACAAAAAUAAAAAUGCAAUGAUUUAUGAAUAAUUGGAUUAACUGUUUAAGAUGCUAAUGUGAAUAUAUUAGAAUUGAAAGACUUAUUGUUCAAGCAGGUAGAAUACUUUUUGAGAAAAUAUCUAGAUUGCUUUUUAUACAGAAACAUGUCAAUUUUUUUUCUGUAAAUGUUUCUUUGUGAACCAUAAUACAUUCAUGAUAUAAAUUUAAGAUCAUAUAUUGAAAAGUUAAGUAUAUUAAUCCCUCAAAGGAAUUGUUUAGAAUUGCUUUUUGAAUAGGAUACAAACUUGAUGACUCAUUCUGAGUCCUUACUUCCCCUCCCUUCUUUCUCCCCACAGUUAGUUUCUCCCCACAUAUACUAGCUGGCAAACAGAAGCAGUUUUUGAUUACAAAUAAUUUCAUUGGUUAUUGGAAAAGGGAUUCCAAUAUCCACCUACAUAUACGGGAAUCCACAUAUAAUUUUGAAAACAAAAAUCCUAUGAUCUUAAAACACUACUAUUAAAGAUUUUGUUUUAAUUUUUGAGUAAACUUGUUUCAUCACACCCACCACCACCCCUUUCUCCAACUACAAGUCACCUGUUACCCCUCCCUCUUCCUACUAUAGUAAAGAGAAUUCUUAGAGAGAACACUAAAAAUUUCUAUCAUACUAAUUUUAAAUAGACUUUAAGAUAGGCUAGGCUAGUUUUUCAUCACUAUAGUGGCAUGUACAUAAUUAAAGCUUCUAUGCAGCAAAGUUAGUGAGAAGCUUACACCUAUUUGAGGUAAAUAUUUUAACAAUUUCUAGAUUAUGUAAACGUGCAAGCAACCUGUUUCCAAAUUAUGACAAUGAUUGUAAUUGGAGUAUUAUUGAUUAUGAGUGGAAUUUUUGUUCUUUAAAAAAAUAACCACAUCCAUUCUACUUUGCUUUUAUUGAUUUUACUGCUUAGUCUAGGCAUGUAUAUUUUUAAACAAAAUUUUUUUCCCUUGCAUUACUGAGAUUCUGAUUGGCCUACAAUUAAGUGUCACAAAUAUAAUUUAGUUAUUUAUAAGGGAAAGAUAAUCAAAAUUUAAAUAAAAGGUUAGGACCUCAGGAAUUUUUAUAUCUUCUGAAGUAGAAGAAUUUAUUUCACAAUAUGUUAGUUCCACCAAAAUUUUUCUUAAUAAAAAGACAUAUUCAAAGCAACAUGGAGCACAUAGAUCAAAGUCCAGACAAAGAGGAUCCAUAAAGAUAAAAAGAAAAGAAAAUUCAGCUAAAGUUUCAUCAAUAUUACUAAUUGCUAUUUGGAAUAGAUGUUAAAUCCUGCCCAUCUGUAUUUCAUUGAAUACCUUUUCUAAUCUAAAUUUUACUUCUACCCAUACUACUGAAGCAGUAUCCUCUCUGCAUCUCCCAAACCUUCAAAACAGAUAAUGACCCAACACAUACAUCCUAAGGUCUUGCUAAUUUCAAAUUAACCCCCCCCCAAAAAAGGGAAUCCCAUAUACUCCUCAGGCAAAAGGUCAAUUGGAAAAGUAUCAUUAUUAAUCAUUGUUAGUCCCAGCCCUCUUUUGGGGGCAAGGAUCUGUUUGUGUUUUUCCCCCAGGUACUCCUAUACACACUUGGAUUCCAGAAGGAUUCACCCAUUCCUGCCAUGACUCCCAUCCCAACAACAAGCCUGGGAGAAUGCAGAUAUCGAGACUGUGCUAAAACAACAAGAUGUUCUGCCAAUUUGAGGACAAAUUGGGACACUUGCAACCCAAGCAAAACAAAGAAUGGACAAGCAACAACUUAUACCUCCUGAUUGCACUGCUACCUUAAUUCUUGCCAUGGUAGCCAUUUCAUCUGUACUCCCUGGUAUUUCUGCCAUUGAAAGCCUCUCAUCUCCCAUUACUCAUUUCUCUUUGUAGAAAUUCAUUGCUUCUCUCUCCCCCUGCUGUAUUACUGCACUCUAGUGACAAGAAAAGUUCCAAAUCUACAACAUGUUUCUCCCAUGACUUAUAGAAAUUCUUGUCAUGUAUUUUAACAAAUUGUCUUAAUCCCUCCAUUCCUGCUAGCAUUGUAUUUAUUGUUAAAUAACCACCCUUUGUUAUGCUUCCUGUUAAUAUGACUAUUGACUGGUAUGAUGGUCCAGGCAUUUAUGCCUUGCAAUUAAUUUCCAACAGUUUAAACCAUCCUAACCCCUUCAUUGCACCCCUUAUUUUGGUUAUCACUGCACUUAUUGCAUCACUAGCCACCUUCCCUACAAGGAGUCCACACUAUACAGACAAAUCAUGGAUAUCGAUCACUCUGGUACCUCUCUUUACUCAGCUUCAUCCAUUGCCAAUUCAUUUUAUGACAGCAUCUCCUCCUUUAUUUCCAACAGUGGUUUGACCCAUACUUUUAUUGCUUGUGGAUUUGCUCUUGUCUUAAUUUUUCUUAUUUUUUUUUUGCUUUCCAGUCCUCAUCCAAUACCUAGGGUGGACCAUUUGGCAAGUCCAAAUCGAACUGAAAUCUCUUCAGCUCAAAAAUUUUAAAAAGGGGGUAUAUGCUGGGAGCCAUCAGGCCACAACACCUUGACAGAGUCAUAGAUGGUAGCUAAGGAGGCCACAGAGUGACCCUUGGCAAGAUGUGAUUGCCCACUCAGUCCCCCUUACAUGACCUCUCUCAUCAUUACCCUUUCCUUGCAUGACCUCUCUCAUCAAUACCCCUUACUUAUGGAACUGACAUGAUUAUUAUUCCCCCUAGUCUCAGAAGGAAUAAUACAAGAGCAAAAUACCUGUACCCUAAUUCUCUAAAACAUCACCAAAAGAUCAGACCUUCAAACUCAAUCCCAAAAGGCUACUAUGGGUUAACUUUUACUUAGGUACAUAAUCCCCAGUGAAAAUGCAACUACAGGCCAAGCCCAAAACCUUCCCACUCACAGAAACCUAUUCUCAUGAAGCCAGCAUAUAAAUCAACCAUAAAGGCCUAUAGAAAAUGUACAGGUACACUAAGCUUCAAUAUGCCUCAGUGAAUCGACUUCACAAACCAGUAACCAAGAAACUCCCUAGUAAACCCUGAGAAAUGAUCAGUCUAAUAUUAAAUCUGAAUUGUGUCCCCAGCACCCCUCCACCUCAAUGAUAUGAUUGUUGAAUUGUCUUUUAAGAACUUCUGACUAAUUAUUCCAUUUUAUUAAAAGUAAUAAGUAAAUUUCCUUGAUUGUUUGUAAGUUCAACACUCCACAUAGGGUAGUGAGAAAAUUAAGCCACCUGUGAUGAAAUCAUUUAUCUUGUGUGAAACCUUUGUUCUGUCAAGAAUCUAUAACCAUAAUACAAGAAUAUAGAAUGUUAAUCAAGUGAUUUGUUAAAAGUUAAUGUAUCACUUUUCCAAUUAUCUCAAUUUAGACAUGUGUGUUGGGCAAUGUAUCUGUGUGCCACGAAAAUGGGUAUAAAAAUAAACACCAGGCCUGUGGAUGGCUGAGCAGCUAUCAGAUGCAAAGCAUUCCCAUGGCUGUAAAGAUA